rnacentral:tRNA from 1 species
GCGGAAAUAGCUCAGUUGGUAGAGCAUAACCUUGCCAAGGUUAGGGCCGCGAGUUCGAGUCUCGUUUUCCUCU